CCCUUUUUAUCAUUUAAAAUUAAAAAGCGGUUGCAAAGUAGAAAGAUUAGUGGUAUAUUUACAUUAACAUUAUUUUUGUAGGUGAAAGAUAUGAUUGUUAUAUACAUUCCAUCUCGUGCCGUUAAGCAAGAAUAGUUAAUAUUUUGUGUGCAAAACACACGAGGAGGAAUUUUUAAAUGGAAACAGGUACAGUAAAAUGGUUUAACGCAGAAAAAGGCUUUGGUUUUAUCGAACGCGAAAACGGUGACGAUGUAUUCGUACACUUCAGCGCUAUCCAAGGUGACGGGUUCAAAUCUCUAGACGAAGGUCAAGCAGUUUCUUUUGACGUAGAAGAAGGACAACGCGGACCUCAAGCUGCUAACGUUCAAAAAAACUAAUUUGAUUUAACCAUAUAGAUUAAGCUGUAAACAAUUUGUUUACAGCUUUUUU
rnacentral:sRNA from 1 species